GCAGCUGUAGCUCAGUGGUAUGAGCGUGCGAUUGCAAUGAAUCCAUGUACAACAUGAUCAUCGCGAGGUCCUGGGUUCGACCCCCAGCAGCUGCU